CACAUCAACAGAUAGCUGAAGAACAACUUAGGGUUCGGUCUCAGGCUUUAACAACAACUUGUUCUCAGGGAUCCCACAAGAACUACCUCAGUCCCUACUGAGGUCAAUCCCCAUGACUUAAGCAUCUCCCACUGGGCCCUACCUCUUAAUUGAGGUCUUUCAACAUUGAAUCUACCUUCCUCAGCUUCCCAGAGUGCUGGGAUUCCAGCAAUUUAGAUUUUUAUUUCCAUUGAAAUACUCCUCCAUCAUCUGAAACUCGAAGAAGUUCCAAAGGCAACUGGAAUGAUUGGGCGUCAGUGGGAUAAAGGCACCAAGUGAUCUGGAAGACAUCGAGCUGCUGACACACGGAACAACCUGGGUAAAUCUUGAAUAUACACCAUUACGCUGAGUAAAAAAAGCCACACACAGAGGGAAACACUGUUGGAUUCCAUUUUUUAAAGGACAGUCUGAAAGGCAAAACUAUAGUGGCAAAAUUUAGACCAGUGGUUGCCAGAAUUGGGGAUGAAGGGGCUAACCUGGAUAAAACUGGGGUUAGUGGAACAUUUCUGGAUAAUGAAAAUGCUGUCCUGUUUAUCUUUAUUGUGAUUAUAUCUACAUGGUUGUUUGUAUACAUUCAUCAAAAUGUACAUGAAGAAUGGAGAAUGUUCUAUACAUAAAUUGUGCCUUGACACAUCCAAAAUACCUGACUUAAACAAUAAGCGUUAUCAUACCAAGAGUUAGACUGACAGGCCCAAUACGGUGGGGUUACUGUCUUGCCUCAUUGGAAUAAGACACUAUUAAUGCAGUUAAAACUAGUACUUGGCUUAGGGAAACCGUUUCACAAUUUUGUCUCAAAUCAAGCUUUUAAUCUGUUAAAAAAAAUCCUGUAUGUGUCUAGGUUUUUAAAGUAAACUAUAGUAAUACAUACUAAUAGUUUAAAGAUUGCAUUAUAUAUAUGUAAACCCAUUGUAUGAAUGUCACAAGAUCUUUUGGAAUCUGUGUUAUGCUAUGUAGAGUAUUAUAUAUUCCCUACAGCUUUGUGUGAUCCAUAAUUUAGUCAACAUGCUUUAUGGAAAGUAUUUUUCUGUGUGGAAAAAUCAUUCUAAAUCUGUUUUAUGCCCAGUUUUAUGGCACAUGUGAUCUGUAUAUGGUAUCUGAAUCUAAAUAAAUUUAUAAAUAACUUUGUCAGUGUAAGUGAAGUAACGUGUUCUGAUAUUAAUAAUUUUUUGACAGUGAAUUUCUUUUACUCAAAGAUGGCCAUGACAAAUUUUAUUAACUAUCAAAAGCUACAUUUUACUAAAAACAAGCUGUCUUUAAAAAUUUUUUUUAUUUUAAAAAUUUAAUGAAGAAAUACCGUUUUGUAAAAGGAUUUAAGAGCAUAGUUAGAAAAGCACAAAAUUCAUACUAAGACUAACUUAACAACCACCAAAACCUAAAGAUAGUCCCAGUGAAAAAAAAAAAUAAGUGCAACAUAUUUAUGAACAUAACAGAAAAUUUUGAAACAAAAUAUUAGGAAAAGUAAUACAG
rnacentral:lncRNA from 1 species